GUGCGGUCACAAAAAACAAUGUUUUUUGAACAUAGGUUCUGACAAUGAUGCCGAAGAGUGAAUCAAUCACUUCUGUGAUUUAUGAAUAACUGCCCAAGCGUUUUAAA
rnacentral:ncRNA from 1 species